rnacentral:rRNA from 1 species
UUUCUUUGCUGGCGACCGGCGCACAGGUGAGUAACACGUAUCCAACCUGCCCUUUACUCGGGGAUAGCCUUUCGAAAGAAAGAUUAAUACCCGAUAGUAUAAUGAUUCCGCAUGGUUUCAUUAUUAAAGGAUUCCGGUAAAGGAUGGGGAUGCGUUCCAUUAGGUUGUUGGUGAGGUAACGGCUCACCAAGCCUUCGAUGGAUAGGGGUUCUGAGAGGAAGGUCCCCCACAUUGGAACUGAGACACGGUCCAA